rnacentral:rRNA from 1 species
UGGGUAGUCCGUACGAGCGCACCCUAUCCUUAGUUGCCAGCGAGUAUGUCGGGAACUCUAGGGAGACUGCCGGUGACAAACCGGAGGAAGGUGGGGACGACGUCAAGUCAUCAUGGCCCUUAUGGGCAGGGCUACACACGUGCUACAAUGGCCGGCACAGAGGGCUGCGAAGUCGCAAGGCGGAGCGAAUCUCAGAAAACCGGUCGUAGUCCGGAUUGCGGUCUGCAACUCGACUGCAUGAAGUUGGAAUCGCUAGUAAUCGCGGAUCAGAAUGCCGCGGUGAAUACGUUCCCGGGCCUUGUACACACCGCCCGUCACACCAUGGGAGUGGGCUGUACCAGAAGUAGGUAGUCUAACCUUCGGGGGGACGCUUACCACGGUGUGGUUCAUGACUGGGGUGGAGUCGUAACAAGGUAGCCCUAGGGGAACCUGGGGCUGGAUCACCUCCUU